rnacentral:rRNA from 1 species
AAGACCUUGCGCUUUUGGAGCGGCCGAUGUCUGAUUAGCUAGUUGGUGGGGUAAUGGCCUACCAAAGCUUCGAUCAGUAGCUGGUCUGAGAGGACGGCCAGCCACACUGGGACUGAGACACGGCCCAGACUCCUACGGGAGGCAGCAGUGGGGAAUUUUGGACAAUGGGCGCAAGCCUGAUCCAGCCAUGCCGCGUGAGUGAAGAAGGCCUUCGGGUUGUAAAGCUCUUUCAGCCGGGGAGAAAAGGCUGCGACUAAUAAUCGCAGUUCAUGACGGUACCGGAAGAAGAAGCACCGGCUAACUACGUGCCAGCAGCCGCGGUAAUACGUAGGGUGCGAGCGUUAAUCGGAAUUACUGGGCGUAAAGGGUGCGCAGGCGGUUUUGUAAGUCAGAUGUGAGAUCCCCGGGCUUAACCUGGGAACU